UACGUAGGAUGCAAGCGUUGUCCGGAAUUAUUGGGCGUAAAGCGCACGUAGGCGGCAUUGCAAGUCGGAUGUGAAAUCCCUCGGCUUAACCAAGGAAGUGCAUCCGAAACUGCAGUGCUUGAGUACGAAAGAGGAUCGCGGAAUUCCCGGUGUAGAGGUGAAAUUCGUAGAUAUCGGGAGGAACACCAGUGGCGAAGGCGGCGAUCUGGGUCGAUACUGACGCUGAGGUGCGAAAGCGUGGGGAGCAAACAGG
rnacentral:rRNA from 1 species